UAAAGAAUAAGAAAUUUUGGUAAGUUUACCUUUUGUAUCAGGGGAAGUUAAAAGUAGAAGUAGUGAGAUAUCGAUUUAGGCAGAGCUUCGUAUAAGGUGGUUGUAGUUGAAUUUAUAAUUUUAAACAAAUUAUGAGGUGAAAAGUGCACGGUGCUUAUGGUAGCUAUUUGUUUUUUUUUUGAGGGGCAAGCUCUCAUUGACUU
rnacentral:rRNA from 1 species